GAUGAACGCUGGCGGCGUGCUUAACACAUGCAAGUCGAACGGAAAGGUCAUGCUCUUGCGGGGCGCUCGUGUGGCGAAGGCGUGAGUAACACGCGAGUAAACUCUCCUUGUCUUUGGGAUAUAUUCAGGAAACUGGGGCUAUUAUCGGAUAGGAUCUCUUGAUGCACGGUGGGGGUUGGUAAGUUUCGGCGGUUGUGGAUGGACUCGCGGCUUAUCAGCUUGUUUGUGGGGUAGUGGCUUACCAAGCUUUUGACGGGUAGGCGGCCUGGGAGGGUGGCCGGCCACAAUGGGACUGAGAUACGGCCCAGACUCCUACCGGAGGCAGCAGUGGGGAAUAUUACACAAUAGGCGGAAGCCUGAUACGGCGACGCCGCGUGCGGGAUGACGGCCUUCGAGUUAUAAACCGCUUUCUCCGGUGACGAAGCGGUAGUGACGGUAAUGAGUAAAAAAGCACCGGCUAACUACGUG
rnacentral:rRNA from 1 species